rnacentral:snRNA from 1 species
GUUGUCUUAACCAGUACACACACUGAAACUGGAAUGGUACAGAGAAGAUUAACGUGGCCAUGCACAAGGACAACAUGCAAAUUCCUGAAGCGUUACAUAUUUUA